UGGGGUGUAGCUAGCCAUAUAGCACUUGCUUUGCAUGCACAAGGCCCUGAGUUCAAUCCUCAGCACCACAG
rnacentral:tRNA from 1 species